UCAAAAACAUGUCUUUUUGAAAAUAAUUUAAAGUCUAAUCUGCCCACUGAUAAAAUUAUUAAAGGGCUGCAGUAUAUUGACUGUACAAAGGUAGCAUAAUCAUUAGUCUUUUAAUUGAAGACUUGUAUGAAAGAUUUGAUGAAAUAUAUACUGUCUCUAAUUUAUUAAUAAAAAUUAAUUUUUUAGUUAAAAAGCUAAAAUAAUAUUAAAAGACGAGAAGACCCUAUAAAGUUUUAUAAUUUAUUUAUUUAAUAUUAAUUAUAUAAUUAAAUAUAAUAAUUAAUUAAAAUUAUUUUAUUGGGGUGAUAGAAAAAUUUAAUUAACUUUUUUUAAAAAAUAAACAUUAAUAAGUGAAAUAAUGAUCCAUUAUUAGUGAUUAGAAGAAAAAAUUACUUUAGGGAUAACAGCGUAAUAUUUUUUUUUAGUACAAAUAAAAAAGAAAGUUUGCGACCUCGAUGUUGGAUUAAGAUAAAAUUUAAAUGCAAAAGUUUAAAAUUUUGAUCUGUUCGAUCAUUAAAAUCUUACAUGAUCUGAGCU
rnacentral:rRNA from 1 species